UAGUUUGAAUGAGUUGGCUUAUGUUUAUGAUCUUUCGACCUUUCAGAAUUCUUGUCUGUUGCUGAAAGUUAAGACUGAUAAACCACCCCUCAUUCUGAAAUCAAAGCAUAAUGGUGGUGGUUGGAAAGAAAAAUACUUCUUCGUGAAACGCGACUCCAUCCCUGAUGGAAAUCUCUGGCCACAAUCUUGGGCUAAAAAGGAUAGGGUUUCAUAUUUGUAUACUAAGGAUCCUGGUAUUCACACUUCUUAUUUUGUUUGAUUUUUUUUGCAGCUUUCAAGUUUGAAGAGCUUGUUCCUCCCACUGAAGACACUAAAGAUAUGAUUGAGAAUUUCCUUGGCCUGCCCAAGAUUGAGAGAACAUUCAAGUUUGAUUAUCCUAGCCACCCAGAAAGUUCAACUACCAUUAUUCCCAUGACUACAUCCUCAAUUUUAUUUCAUUUCUUAUGAAGGAUCCUGAAUUGAUAGAACUUUUUUUUUGCUAUGCUUAGGAUUCAAGUCUACUCGUUCUGGUGCACGAUUUACCCUUGUUGAUCUUGAUUCUAUCAUGUCCAGUGACUAAUUGGUAGUCAAGAAAGAAAAGUCCUCUCUUCUUUGCAAGAAAGCUCCCAUAUAUUUGUCUGUCAAAAAUCCAGGAUCCCAAAAGAGGAAAUCGGUUGAACUCUUCAACCUGGCGGACCUCAAGUUGGGUGAUCAUAUCUCUCAUUCCUCCGAGGAUCUUAAGGCCAUGCUAAGCCAAGCAGAAUAAGCAUUGAAGGAACAAGAAGUAGCCAACAAGUACCUCUUACAGAGGUUGAGAGACUGGUCAAGGAGAAAGAAAAAAAGAAGAGGAGCAUGCGGCGUAGAUCAAAGAGGAGAUAGAUGAAGUCAAGAGCAGUGCCGCCGAUGUGGUUUGGGAGGCAAAAAUCAAGUUGGCAGAGGACGUCAAGAACACAGGAUAUUGGGACGCAGUUGGGUGGAAAGAGGCUUUGGCCAAGCUGACUAGUAGGCCUUUCAAUGCUUGUAAGACUCCUAUAGGGGAAAGGGGAGAAGAGGAAGAACAGAAUAAAAAGAAGGAAGAGGAAGAGAAGAAGAAGAGAGAGAAGACUCCAGUUGGAGGUGAUCAAGCCUAGUGUUAAGUUUGAUUAGUUAAAAAUAAUUGAACAUGUUGUAUGUAAAACUAUAUCUUGUUAUUUUUUGUGGGGUUAAUGAUCAACCAUUUCUAGUUUCAGGAUA